rnacentral:lncRNA from 1 species
AUGAGCUAUACUAAAGGUGCGAUGCUGUGGGAUGGGUACCCAGGUCUGUGCCGCAGCUUUGCGGUGGAGCUGUCACGCCGCUUCCUCCGUACAGGAUCUCGGCUCUCCGUCCCCCUGCGGGCCUUGGCUGUAAGUGCAGAAGGAGCCGACGGUGGAAAGGCACUGGCAGCAAAACGCGGACAGAGAGGCUGCGACAUCCGCCGGAUCCGAGUGAAGCUGUGUAUUACUGAAGUCCCAGAUCUAGCAAGCAAAAGGAAUGGUACAGUAGAGAUGAAGCAUCUCUAUGAAGUGCUGAGAGGCGGGACUGAGGUUUUCUCAUCAGCUCAGAGUGGCUAGAUUACUGUUCCUGGUCUGGAGGCUAUUAUCUGCAGAGACAGCAGCAACAUCCUGCAAAGCCAGAACUAUGCCAUGCCAUGCAGGAGCAUGUUGAAGAACUGCUACAGGUGGAUUGCCAAGGUGUCAUAUCAUCUGCAGAUUGUAUUUUACAGGACGUGUUGCUGACUGGGCGAUACCAUCCAUGUCUGCAGAGGUGUCCAGGGAAGCUGUAGAACCUUGUCUUCAUAAGCCGGAGGCAAGGCAGGGAUACAUUCACUGUGUCAAAGCAGAAGCAGAUGAAAUUACAUUCGACUUCAACCCACUGUGAAACCAAAGCUAUGUGAGUUUCUCCAAAAAACCCAUGAAUAUUAAUUUCCAUGAGAAAACCAAUAUUACUUUUUUCACACUGAGGAUUGAAAUAUUCUAUACUUAUUUUCAGGAGAAGGCAAUGACGGUAACUACAGAGUCACUUUUUCUUGACUUUUGUUGCUGGAACCUGGAGAGGUUUUAGGGAACGGGUCUUGGUUUUUGCCACAGAUGGAAAGAACUGGGAUUCCCAGCAGCCAGCCAUCUGAAGGGAAUUGCCCUUCACAGAGAUAUAGGCAGUUAUCAUCCUGCCCCUCAAAUUUUAGGUGAACUGGGAUGAUCAAGAAGGUGACCGUAGGACAGAGGUGGAAAGACUGCACAUAGACUAUGCCAGGUACGCAGAUGACUGCUUGUAUGUAGCAUGGUUUGGAAAAGAUUGUAAUACACAACAAUAUUUUUAAAAACCCAAUAGGACAAGCUGGGGAACUACAUGUGGGUCUGCCACAAUUUACUGCCUUGGAAAAUCAUGGAACAAGUUCCCCCAGCACACAAAGGACGUGGAGCUGUUGGGGCAGGUACAGAGGAGGGCCAUGAAGAUGAUCAUAUGGCUGGAGCACCUCUCCUAUGAAGACAGGCUGAGAGAAGUGGGGUUCUGUAGCCGUGAGAAGAGGAGGUUUCAGGAAGACUUUAUAGAGGUUUUCUGGUGCAUAAAGGGGGCCCACAAGUAAGAUGGGGAGGGACCGUACCAGAGCGUGUAGUGGUGUGACAAGGGGUCAUACCACUAAAACAGGACAGGUUUAGACAUGGGGAAGAAAUUCUUUACUGAGAUGCCCCACCGCUGAAGGCAUUCAUGGCCAGGUUGGAUGGGGUCCUGGGCAGCCAGAUAUGGUGGAAGAUGUCCCUGCCCAUGGUAGGAGGGUUGGACCAGGUCAUUCUUAAAGUUCUUCCAACCCAGAUCAUUCUGCAGUUCCGUAUCAUUAUCCUCAGUAUGCAGACUUGAUGUCCUGGGGCCUUGAAAUGAAAGAUUCAAUCACUGAAUACAUUAUGAGCCCCAAAGUUUUCAAGAAGUGGUGGGCGUCCUACAUGACGAAUAUGUUGAUCAGCUGUAGUUGGGUUUGGGACUGUUUUGGUAGAUAGUCCUCUAUAUCGGGCUGCUGGGCAUAUAUCUUUUUGUUGUUCCUAUUGUUAAUACAGAGCUGUUUCUGCAACUUCUGAGUGUAUUUAGCCCCAGACAAGACCAUCCAGCUCUCUUGCACAUACUUGAAGCCUGCUAUAAGAAGCAGGAAUGAAGAUGAACACAGAUGAGCCCAAGGACAAGGCACUGCUGUAAGACACUUGGAAUAAGGUCUAAAGCCACUUACAUGCAUAAGCAUGAUUCCUAUUGCUUUCAUAUCUCACACCUCUGAUUAUCUACGGGCACCUUAGCACCAAGUCCAUACCAUCCUUCCCAUCCUUCGUGCCCAUUUCUGUCUGAUGAGCUCCUACAGCUUUUACCAAAGCCAACUGGAAUUUGAAGUAUGUUUUACAUGACAGUUUAAGUUUCCACAAGAUCCAGUAAAACUGGGGAUUCUUUUUUUUAUUUAUUUUUGUAAUAGUGGGCCUUGAUUUUUCUUAAAGGUUCCUGUGGUGACAGUGUUAGCGGGCUUUCGUGGGCUUGGACACAAUAAAUUACUCUGUAUGAUUCCCUCUGUUACUACCAAAUGCCUUACUCACAGUGGUGGCUCUGUGCAGAUUUGCUUAUCACAACAUGGGGAAAAGGUAGCAUCAAGCAUAAGGCAGUUGGUAAGUAUACCAAGAAGGAAAACAGACUUGUGUCUGUAAGAUAGAAUUGCUGGUUAAAAUGUUAAACAUAUGAAUACAAUAGGGUGGUAGAAAUAAAAAAGUUGAAGUAUACAGAAGAAAUGCAGAACCAAAGAUUGAAGUCAAGGCAGAUAGAUACCUCAAUACACUCAUAUCAAAAAAGCCUUCUCUGCUCUGAUUCCCAUCACCCACUCAAACAAAGCUGCUCCUUCAUUCACCUGCGUCCCACCAGGCCAACUUCCAGUAUCAGCUUCAGAAUCUCUCCAGUUACCACUGGUUUGUGGCAUGGUGCUCAGCCCAGGGGACAGGCCCCUUGGCAGGGGCAGCUCACAACUAAAACCACCCCAUAGAGGCUCCCAUGACCCCGAUUUUGCUGCACGUUGGCAAGAGCAGGCAUCCUGUCAUGCUCCGACCAUGCAGCAUGAGGUGCUUUGGAGAACCCACAGGCUGCUCCCUGCCAAUGCCCAGGUACUUAUGCCCUCGCCUCCGGCUUCCUCCAUCUGCCUUUACACAGAAGCCCCACAGCUUCGCUG